ACAGGUGCUGCAUGGCUGUCGUCAGCUCGUGUCGUGAGAUGUUGGGUUAAGUCCCGCAACGAGCGCAACCCUUAUCUUUAAUUGCCAGCAUUCAGUUGGGCACUUUAAAGAGACUGCCGGUGUUAAACCGGAGGAAGGUGGGGAUGACGUCAAGUCCUCAUGGCCUUUAUGCUUAGGGCUACACACGUGCUACAAUGGGUGGUACAAAGAGAAGCCAACUCGCGAGAGCGCGCCAAUCUCAAAAAGCCAUCCUCAGUUCGGAUUGGAGUCUGCAACUCGACUCCAUGAAGUUGGAAUCGCUAGUAAUCGCGGAUCAGCACGCCGCGGUGAAUACGUUCCCGGGCCUU
rnacentral:rRNA from 1 species